rnacentral:tRNA from 1 species
GGCUUUGUAGUUAAAAAUAAUAUUAAAUUGCAAAUUUAAAGUUAGAAACCUUCUCAAGGCCU